rnacentral:lncRNA from 1 species
GUCUUCAUUCUGUGUGCAGUAUAAAAGGACAUGUUGUUAUUACUUGUCAACAUAUUCUAUUUAGUUUGCCGAUAGUGAUAUUAAUUCAAUAAUAUUAAAAAUACAAUAAUAAUGGGAUUAAAAUUAUUUUUAAUACUUUCCAUUGUAUUUACAGUUGGUAUCGCAGAAAAGAGGUAUAAAGUUUGCGGAUCAGCUUUGGCUGACCUAGUGGCUUGUAUAUGUGAGUCGACUAAACCUCUUGGAAAGAUUAGAAGUAUUGAUGAUAACAAAAACAUAAAAAAUAUGGAAGAGGUUUAUUCCCUAGAAAAAGGUAUUGUUGAUGAAUGUUGUAGACAAUCAUGUACCAGAGAACAAAUUGAGGAGUACUGCCUAGUCGUGAGCACGAGAGAGUGUUGACAUGUUAUUAGAAGCUUAACUUUAAACAUUUUUAUUUCAUUGAUUAAUAAAAGUGUGAAGCCGAAGUUUGGCUGAUUUACUUAAAAUUAAA